rnacentral:rRNA from 1 species
CGUAGGGUGCAAGCGUUAAUCGGAAUUACUGGGCGUAAAGCGUGCGCAGGCGGUUUUGUAAGACAGGCGUGAAAUCCCCGGGCUCAACCUGGGAAUGGCGCUUGUGACUGCAAAGCUGGAGUGCGGCAGAGGGGGAUGGAAUUCCGCGUGUAGCAGUGAAAUGCGUAGAUAUGCGGAGGAACACCAAUGGCGAAGGCAAUCCCCUGGGCCUGCACUGACGCUCAUGCACGAAAGCGUGGGGAGCAAACAGGAUUAGAUACCCUGGUAGUCCACGCCCUAAACGAUGUCAACUGGUUGUUGGGUCUCUUCUGACUCAGUAACGAAGCUAACGCGUGAAGUUGACCGCCUGGGGAGUACGGCCGCAAGGUUG